GACGAACGCUGGCGGCGUGCUUAACACAUGCCAGUCGAACGGAAAGGCCCUGCUUUUGUGGGGUGCUCGAGUGGCGAACGGGUGAGUAACACGUGAGUAACCUGCCCUUGACUUUGGGAUAACUUCAGGAAACUGGGGCUAAUACCGGAUAGGAGCUCCUGCUGCAUGGUGGGGGUUGGAAAGUUUCGGCGGUUGGGGAUGGACUCGCGGCUUAUCAGCUUGUUGGUGGGGUAGUGGCUUACCAAGGCUUUGACGGGUAGCCGGCCUGAGAGGGUGACCGGCCACAUUGGGACUGAGAUACGGCCCAGACUCCUACGGGAGGCAGCAGUGGGGAAUAUUGCACAAUGGGCGGAAGCCUGAUGCAGCAACGCCGCGUGCGGGAUGACGGCCUUCGGGUUGUAAACCGCUUUCGCCUGUGACGAAGCGUGAGUGACGGUAAUGGGUAAAGAAGCACCGACUAACUACGUG
rnacentral:rRNA from 1 species